CACCGAGUGAGGUCUUGAUGAGGCUGCGGUAGUCGCCGUGGUCGAAUCUGGGUUUCGCAAGGGGGGUUAAGUCGUAACAAGGUAGCCGUAGGGGAAUCUGCGGCUGGAUCACCUCCU
rnacentral:rRNA from 1 species